UCGCUCGCACAAGCGACCGGCAACAAGUCUGGCCGCUUGCCCACGCCAGGCGGCACAUCCGCCCGUGUAUCCUAAACACGGGAAUUGCCCUACAAUACAAAGGAGUUUGGAGACCGCGGGCAACAAAACCCCACCAGGGCCACCGGCCCGUCCCCCCAGCUCCGGACUCUCCGCAGCGCGGGCUCUGGCUCUCCUCGCUGCCUCUCCCAGAACAAGCCCCAGCGUCCAUUCCUGGCAGGGGCAGGGUUGUGCAGCAGGCUCGCCCGGGGUAAUCGCACUGCAACGCCAGGCACGGCUCAGGGAGCGGCAGGUUUCCCACCCUUCCCUCCAGCAAGCGUCCACCAGUAUCUUGCUGCUGGCAUGAACAGGACCCACAGAGUAAGCAUGAUUUUAACACUUGGGAGAUCUAAAACAAAUGUCCUACCAGACCACUAGCAAAACCAGCUGGCUACUCCAAUGCAGAAACAAAGAGUUUCCUAAUAAAAGGGAGGAAAUGAAAGCAGAAGGCAGAAGACCUCUUCCAAAAAUUACUGGAACUUCUGAGUAAUUAUAUAUUGGCUAGAAAGUCAGAAACUCAUAUUUGGGAUCUUUUUAGGCGGAAAAUGAUCUGAGAAAGAGACAUUCUUUCCCAAUACACCCCAUGUACACCUUUAAGUAAGUUAAGACAAGUAUUUUCUCUGAUACAAUGAGGAAAGCCUCAAAAAUCUGGCAGGAGAAACUCAUACAAAUUCUUCUUCUUGCACUUCUCACAACACAACUAAAACAGAAGGUGAGAAUAUGGGACAGCAGUCAGUCAGUAUAGUGAGAUCUUUUGAGCUGCGUAAUUGAAAAUGGUUUGUGCUUGGGAGUAAGCAACACAGAAUGGAGUAAGAACAGAGCAGGUAUGUCUAUUCAGCCUGAAAAUAAAUAAGAGUUUUCUUUUUUUCAAGAUUCACUUACUUCAGCUUGUAUAGAAACACAGGGAAAACUCAUCCCCUAACACUUUUGGCAUAAAACUUAAUAGCAUUCAUUCACCCAAAAUCUGUUCAAAUGCUGUGUCAGGAAAAAAGAACCCAAGAUGAAAAGUAGACUUUGUUGUGGUUCCCACUACUCCAUGUGCAGAUGCCUUGUCCCUCCUGUGGUGUUGUGACAAUUUCUACAAAAGGCCACAGAGCUUAGCUGACACCACAGUGCUACAAGUACCAUUAACUUCUGAGAGAUCUCCCAAGCCCAUUGUCUCCUACCCUUAGCUCAUUAUUCUUUGAAGCACAACUCCCAGAACACUCAUUUCUUGUUUGUGUUAGGAUCUUAUAUGAUCAGCAUUUUUGUGAGCCCAUCUCAUUAUUUUCUUGUAAUUUUAUUUACAGUGCAGUGAGAACUAGGAAAGCCCCUCACCAAACCACGUACUUUGUAGGACUUAAUUUCUAACACUUGACUGUGAACAUGCAGCAUAAAGAAAGCGAAUGUUUGACCUUCUCUUGGCUUUUUAUUUAAAGGUAGACCUACAAUAAUGGAUAAUCUCAGUAAGGUUUUAGGUUGGAAUGACUUGUAGCAUUUCCUACGACUGAGAAGAUACAGUUUCUGUAAGAGACAGAGAUUAACUCCAGUGCCCAUGUGGGCAUAGAGGAGCAUAUAUAUAUAUCUAUUUUUCUUUGAUCAUGUUUAUGAUAACUAAGACUUAUGAAUCACUAUAUUUCCAUCAUGCAAAUUUUGAGGUUUUUGGGGUUUGUGUUUAACAUAUAUUUUCACUAGUGCAAUCUGUUUAAGUAUUUAUUGAUGCCCUUUAGGCACAGACCCACAUGCAGUGAAAGGCAAAAAAGAAUAAUUUCACUUACAUACUGUAGGAAUCAGCUACUGGGAACAAUCCAAACACAAAUCAAGAAAAGAUCAAUGAUUUACCUCUUUCCUCUCUGUAAUAAAUUCCAAAUGUCCUGAAUCAGUCUUUUUAUUCCACCUGAAAAUUGAGGAUGCAACUAAAACCAUACUGAGACAAAGCCAGAACGCAUUGUCUACUUCACUUAAAGGUACCAAACCCAAAGGAAGCUGAUAUUGCAUUCUCAUAGCUUAUCUGUCUGCACAGCUUUGUGGUCUCUCAUUCAAAAAUGUGCAUUUUCCCCGAGAUAUGUGGAUUGAAAACGAAUCUGGCACAAUAUAAUCCCUUCUGUUAUGUAAUUGCAAAACUUCAUCUCAUCUUUCAUAUAAAUACAGAAGCUCUGCUACUUCUGCCUCUUACCCUCAAGUCUAAAUAUUGCUGUCAUGUUCUAUCUUUGCAAUGGGUUAAAUUGUCUAUACUUUGCACUUGAUAAAGACAAAAAACUGUUGCUUGUCUUAUUGCCUGGAAAUUUGGUAUGGUCUCUCUAGUUAUGGUCUGGAAAAAGGAUAAAUUACCUCAGGAAAUAUAACUAAUAAUGCCAAGGAUUCUGUGAAGGAUAAACAAAACCACCUGUGAGUGGCAAUGAAAUGUUGAUUUUGAUGGGACAUGACCAAGUAGGAGCUGUACUCCAAGCUGAAAAGUGUUCAUAACCUUUAAUAUUAACAUGGGUUUCAGAGGAAAUUCCAGUUUUCUUAAGGAAACAAAGCUCAUCUGAUCCCACACGGCUUUGCAAUGGACAGAUAUAUAUUCAGGUAUGAAAAGCAGGCUUUGCCAUCUGUCCAUGAAAAGCAGUAUCAUUGGCUGACAUCUGUAUUUUUAUUGUGACUACACUUUAUAGAUGACAUAUUCCAGUGUGUGACAGAUGAAUUACCUCCACGGCACAGUGUGGGAUGAUGGGCAGUGAUGCCAAGGGCUCUGUAAGGAAGGUUUCCAUGACAGCAUUCUGUGUAUCAUUGGUAUUUUGGAAAUAACAUUCAGUUUUGAUCUCUGACUUUUAUAGGUUUUACUGUUCCCAUGAAACAUUAUAUUCAAGCAGGAAAAAAAAAGCUAGGGCUAGCAUGAAUAUUUUACAUCCAGCCAGGAAUGACUGGAAGUGAUAUUCCUGUGAUAAACUGCAGAACUAUGUGAUAAACCACAGAGCUAUUUGUUAAAUGCACCUAUUAAACACCUUUAAUUACCUGUUCUACUCUCUGGCCAGUAACCAUUCUGUCUUGGGACUUACUCUGAAGUUUUAUACCGCUGAACAGGUUCAGACAGCUGGCAUUUCCAGCCUGCUGUCUACAUUAAAAUAUAGAACUUUUCUUGAAAACUAAUCCUGCUUCAAAGCCCAAGAAAAGUUAGUUUCAAUCCUGGGCCAAGUAAAAAUAGCUUUUCUAUACAUUGAAACGUGCUGGCUUUUAAAGCACAGCAUUUGCUCCACAGAGCUGAGGAUGAGUUUAACACUGAACGAGAGGGGAGAGUUGGGACAGGAAGGGCCUUAAGAAUAUUUCACAUUCAGAUGUUCAUAAAAGUUGUUCCAAGUAAGAUUCUAAUCUAUUUUGCAGCUGUCUUUUUCCUCCUCCACAUUUGGACAGGGAUUUUCCAAGGAGUCUGAAAGAGCUAGCUGCCCAGUUCCUAUUGAAUUUCAGUAGCAUUCCACAUCUUAACUUCAAUGUGCUGCUCUGAAGUCUAUGAGAUGUGAAACACAGCCUCUGUACAUGAGUUUAAACAAACACUGAGCAUCUGUGAUUUUUCAAGAACAAGGCCAAAAUACAGAUCUUAUCUGCAGCAGAGAGAGAGAUCCCGUGCAACUUUCUGCUAGUUUGGAACUGGGGACUUUUUAAAUCCACCCAUGACUCUGAAAAGCAAACUCCACUAUCACAUUAUGCAUAUCUGUCUGUAAGCAUGCAUUUACAGUUUAUAUACAAUAACAUAUCUAACUACUUGCAAUCUGCUUAAGGAGCUUUUCUCUUAACCAUUUGAAUUUCAAAGCGCAGCUAAAACUGCCGAAGGAUUUUAUUUGUAUACAAGAUUUGAGCUCGGAUAAACAACCCACAUGGAUUCUUAAUCUUUUGUGGGCAGCCAGCACCUUGUAAUCUGUGUGAAAAGGAAUUCAAUAAUAAACACAAACACUGUGCAACAUUAUAAAGGCAGGGAUUUUCUAAUACAUUUGAAGGUAUGGCACACAAAAUUCUCUCUGAUAAGGAAGAGAAGAUGUACUGUUUCCAAAGUGCAGCUUUUAUUAAUCAAUUUGCCCACAUUUUUUAGAGAAUUAUGUGUAAAAUCUGAAGAUGUGGCGAAUGAACAGUACAGCAUUCCUCAGCUACUCUCAGGGACACAGAAGAGACCUACUCACACACUCCAUUCCUAAAGUAAAUCCCUGAGUGUUUUUCUGUAUAAAUGUCAGGAGCAUUUAGGCACUGGUGUCCCACUUUCCUGCACGCUUCUACAUUUCAAGCUCCAAAUAAGCCAAUAAAAUAUAGCAAUGUACAGUUCCACCCUUACAAAUGCCUUUAGUAGCCCUGCACCAUAUCAGGAAGGCAGUUUUGCUGGGACGUGGCAAGGAAAUGCGCUUUCUGCUCCUGUUUUGAGGAAUGAACAGAUUUAACUUGUGAAAAGGUGGUGAGUAAAUGAUGACCCUGAUAUCAAGCAAUAUGAAAUCAGAGCUUCCACAGGAAUCAACAGGAGCAAGAUGCACUGGUGGCACAACAGUUAACCCAACAAAGCACUUACUUUGCACUGAGCCAUGGUAAGAAUUUGUGUGACAGACCAGGGCUGGGAGAGAGUCUAAGGCCCCUGGCACAGCCCUUGCAGUGAGGGUUCUACACGUGACAGUAAUCUACUGCUUCUCUAAACUUACAGCAAGAGAAGGGGUGAGAGAGGGUUCCAAGGAAAAACACAGAGAUGAACUGGGGAGAGGUCAAGCUUAUUGCAGCAACCUGCUUCAUCCAAUGGUAGAGGAAAGCAACAUUUAAUUCUCUUCAGGGUCAGGCAGAAUGCUCAAGAGAAGUGCUUGGUUCUGGUAGUUUUCUUGCAAAGGAAAGGUUGUGGGGGUUUCUGAACUUGUAGGCAGAUCUGCUUUGCUAUUCACCUGAUUUCUACCCACAAGUCUCGUCUUACAGACUUGUUUCAUGUUCUUUGAAAAGGUUCUUUGAAAUCACUUAGAUGAGAUUUGGAGAAGUUUGAUCUGGGGGAAGAGGCACAGUCUUCCAUUUUUGGGGAAUGCUAGUAGUGCUGUACAUCGCUAACUCGGCUUAGUCAUGAAAUCAGAGCAGCACUCACUUCCAUAGCUAAGGUUUGUUACUUUACAAGAAAGAGAAAAUGAAGAGGGAAAAAAGUGCUACUCAACCAGUCUUCCCCAUUUUUCUCCCCAAGCUUUUGUUCAUACUUCAAAAGUGGACCCUAUCCUUGUCUUAGGUACAAAAUAUCCGUUUUGAGGAGAACAUGCAGGAGGGCAUUUGCAGAUUCUCUGGGAUACAGAAGUUUCAGAAUUUCCCAGGUAAGGAAGCACUCUGAGCCCACAGAGAGGGCUUCCACCGUGCCCUGCAUCCCCAGCUCCAGAGACCAUUCUCACACAGGGUGGUAUGCUAUGAGCCCCACAGGUCUGAUAACUGGCUUCUCUCUGUUCCUCAGUCUUCUUUGUAGCAUCACUUUGGAAAACACACUGCACAAACUGUGGGACAGCAAUCAAACCUACAGUCAAGGGCAAAGUAACACUUGCCAAUAGCAAGUUUUGAUGAUAAAGUGCUCCCGACCCAGACAAUCUGGAUAUACAACAUGUUCAAGCCAAAGGCACAAAUAAAAAUGAAGUAUGAGUUAACAAGCUGUGAAGGAAGCCAAAGAGGAUUUUUGACUUUCUGCCUUUCUGGAUAUCUUGGCACCUGACAAGCUUUUGAGCUGGAGGAGGCUGCCUUACCCACACAGACUGUCCUGCACAGGGAGGCUGAAGGAAGGCUGUGGAGGGCAGGUACAGGCAGCACCCAUGGGCAAAACCAGCACCACGUUUCAGAAAACUAGAGUAUGUAAGUGUGCAGAGCACUUGGAUACCUUAUUUCAAAAUUUAUGUGUCACAGAAAAGUGAAGAUAGAUGUACCUUGGGAAGAGUUUUACUUCUGCUCAGAAUAUGUUGGCAGCAUGGGCCCUGUUAUUGUGCACUUAGCAAGCUUUCCUAAAAUCAAAACCUUAAAUCAAUGGGCAAAGUAUGCCAAUAUUUCGACAGCUCAGAGAUGGGUUUCCCUUCUAUUUUUUUUUUUAUUUUUUUUUUAUUUUUAUUACCAACGAAAAGUGCAAUGAACCCUUGAGCUGUAGAAAACACACCGUUAAAACCUACUUUUAAACAGACACCAUUUUAUAGAAGCCGGGUCAUGUCCUGUGGCUCCCUGCUCGUUUUGGUUCCUCUGCCUGACUGCAGUGAGAGCCAGCUUUGUAACAUCUGACACCUACAGUUCACUCAUCAGCAGCUCUUUUGCUUUUUGUUCAGAAGAGAAUAUCACGCAGCUGUAAUCAGAGUUGAUGCAGAUCAAUGUGAGCCUUUACUUUCAUUAUAUUUAAAGGGACAUACGAAUUAUUGAUUUGUGUAUCAAAUUUGAGCACACGUGUUUUCUGUGCUGUCUACAGUCAAUGCAGCAGAUCUGUAGAUCCAAAUGUCACUUAGUACAAAAACAGAGUAACACCAGGAACAUGAUUAAGCAACGAUAUUGGCACAAAACAUUUAUUUUAUGUUGUCUUCAAGUUUUGUAGUAUGUAAAGAUGUCUAAGUUAGAGCCUUAAAAAAUCAUGGAAUCUGAAUGUCCUUGCUCUCUGGGGGUUUAUGACAUGGUUGCUUGCCUGACUUAAACAAGAUGUCCUAUUUCUAGAUAUUUAAAAAUAAUUUAAAAUAAAAGCUAAUUUAACUUGUGGUGUUGAUAAUUAGCUGAAACAAGCAAAGAGGUGGUUAAAAAAAUAAAAA